CCGAGAAACGGCUACCACUUCCAAGGAAGGCAGCAGGCGCGCAACUUACCCUAAUCUCGAUUCGAGGAGGUAGUGACAAGAAAUACCGAUGCGGGACCCUACGGGUGCCGCGUUCGGAAUGAGUACGAUUCGAACCACCUAACGAGGAACGAUCGGAGGGCAAGUCUGGUGCCAGCAGCCGCGGUAAUUCCAGCUCCAAUAGCGUACGUUAAAGUUGCUGCAGUUAAAAAGCUCGUAGUUGAACGUUCGGGUUCCGCGGGACGGGGCCGCCCCGCGAGGGACGGCGCCGCCCCGGGGCUCGUGAUAUCUCAUCUCGCCGCCCGUCGCGAGGCGGACGGAGGGAUGGAUGAGGUUACCUGGAAAAAAUCGGGGCGAUCUAGGCGGGCGGAACCUCGCCAACGAACGAUCGGACAUGGGAUAACGGAAGAGGG
rnacentral:rRNA from 1 species